UGGCGGACGGGUGAGUAACGCGUGGGUAACCUGCCUUGUACAGGGGGAUAACAGUUGGAAACGGCUGCUAAUACCGCAUAAGCGCACGGCAUCGCAUGAUGCAGUGUGAAAAACCCCGGUGGUAUAAGAUGGACCCGCGUUGGAUUAGCUAGUUGGUGAGGUAACGGCCCACCAAGGCGACGAUCCAUAGCCGACCUGAGAGGGUGACCGGCCACAUUGGGACUGAGACACGGCCCAA
rnacentral:rRNA from 1 species